GGGGAUUUAGCUCAGUGGUAUGAGCACUUGCCUGGCAAGCAUGAGGUUGUGACCUCAAUCCCUG
rnacentral:tRNA from 1 species